GACAGAGGGGGCAAGCGUUGCUCGGAAUUACUGGGCGUAAAGCGCGUGUAGGCGGCUCUUCAAGUCGAGUGUGAAAGCUCCAGGCUUAACCUGGGAAUUGCGCUCGAUACUGUUGAGCUAGAGUGUGGAAGGGGCUACUGGAAUUCCGUGUGUAGCGGUGAAAUGCGUAGAUAUCUGGAGGAACACCGGUGGCGAAGGCGGCAUCCUGGACCGGCAUUGACGCUGAGGCGCGAAAGCCAGGGGAGCAAACGGG
rnacentral:rRNA from 1 species